CAUAUACUCCCUCCGUUCAGAAUUACUUGUCACAAAAGUGGAUGUAUCUACAACUAAAAUACAUCUAGAUACAUUCAUUUUUUUACGAGUAAUUCCGAACGGAGGGAGUAGAUU
rfam:Triticum urartu cultivar G1812 contig1454632, whole genome shotgun sequence.